rnacentral:rRNA from 1 species
GUGCCAGCAGCCGCGGUAAAACGUAGGAGGCGAGCGUUAUCCGGAUUUACUGGGCGUAAAGCGCAUGCAGGUGGUUUUGCAAGUGGGAUGUGAAAGCCCCUGGCUUAACUAGGGGAGGUCGUUCCAGACUGCAAGACUGGAGGUCGGGAGAGGAAAGCGGAAUUCCCGGUGUAGUGGUGGAAUGCGUAGAUAUCGGGAGGAACACCAGUGGCGAAAGCGGCUUUCUGGCCCGCACCUGACACUAAGAUGCGAAAGCGUGGGGAGCGAACGGGAUUAGAUACCCCGGUAGUCC